AUGGACAGCCACCCGUCACCAAUGUCCCAACAACAAAUCCAGGCCCAACUCCUCCCCUUAUUCACUCAACCCAGCCCAACAACAACUUUUCCCAGUCGACCCAUUUCCAGCCCUUUCCUCUAAGAGAGACCCAGAAGCUCCCAAGCGCAGCCAUGAUUCAAACACGCGUGAAAUCCCAAAGCGGAUUUUCUCCACGCGGCUAAUCCUCCUCAACGUGAGAAGCAACAGUGUCACAACGCCUCCCACGCGAUGAAGCAGUGGCUGCGAGAGCGAGUUGACGAAGACGAGGCCCAACGUUCACAAAGGAUGACGAAUAGACGGAAGCUACACGGCGUUAACGCGAAAGCUGCCAUCGUCCUCUCCCCUGUUUUGCAGAAUUGUCCUCCUAGCGUAGGAUGAUGCCACGUUGAGACUCAAGGACGGGAGACGAAUCCGAGACAUCGACGUCCCUUUCAACUUUUCAGAUUUUUGCCAAGAAAUGGGGAUUCUUGGUACAAAGACCAACUGUCCGUUGAUCCUGCAAGAAGAGAGUUUGAAUUUUGUCUGAGGAAUUUUCAUUUUUUCCCCAAGAUUUUUCAGAAAUUCCUUCGCUCUCCCCAAUUCAAAACUCUAGUGUCUUCUCCUAUAAAUAUUCUUAUGCUUUUGGAGAGGCUGAUUUUUGGGUUUUGGGGGCAGUUUUUUUUUACUGAAAAGGAUUGGAAAACUUAGGAGAUUUUUUUUUUUGGAAGUUUUGAAGGGAGAAAAGAAAACUGUAUUGAAAGUGGGAUUUUUCUUUGAAAGAGACGCCCAAAACAGCUCAUGAAAAUAGAAAUAACACUUACUAAAAAUACGUUCAAAACAAAGAAAUAAUAAUAUACUUCCAAUUGGAGCAACGUUUGCUAUCGGUUUCCUCGAGUUUUUCUUUGAGAAUUUUGCUUGGGUCUUCUCGUGGCUGUUCGUGUUUGUACUAGUGUGGACGUUACUUCUCUUUCAAGCUCGUCCUCUCUUAUUAUCGCUGCACCCUAAAAGAAUUCGUCUUGUGUAUUUCAAAAAGAACCGUAAAGGCUCAAUUCCUGUCGUUCGAGUUAAGCCUUACAAAUCGAUGGACAAGUCCCCAAAAAUUGAAGAAUAUGAAGUCAAUUGAAGAGUUGAAGAAGCUGGGAUUAGAAGACACGUUCUAUUUUUUUUGCAUUUUUGUAUUUUGUUAUUUUCGGGCCUAAACUCUUGCCGUCUUUUAUUUCUUGUGUUAUUUAUUUAUUAUUAUAUGUUUAGUCUAGGACAGGUACACAAGAAGAAUGGGUCAAAACCUGAAAAGUCAAAUGGGUCGAAAAUUCAAAAAAGGUGGGUCCAAAUUCCGGUCAAGGUGGACAGAAACCCGGACUUGGACCCAAUUUCUCUCUCCCUAUCUCUCUUUACAUGCUUUGAA